AUUGAACGCUGGCGGCAGGCCUAACACAUGCAAGUCGAACGAGUGGCGGACGGGUGAGUAAUGUCUGGGAAACUGCCCGAUGGAGGGGGAUAACUACUGGAAACGGUAGCUAAUACCGCAUACCAUCGGAUGUGCCCAGAUGGGAUUAGCUGGUCGGUGGGGUAACGGCUCACCUAGGCGACGAUCCCUAGCUGGUCUGAGAGGAUGACCAGCCACACGGGAACUGAGAAACGGUCCAGACGCCGGCGGGAGGCAGCAGGGGGGAAUAUUGCACAAGGGGCGCAAGCCUGAUGCAGCCAUGCCGCGUGUAUGAAGAAGGCAUUCGGGUUGUAAAGUACUUUCAGCGAGGAGGCGUUACUCGCAGAAGAAGCACCGGCUAACUCCGUGCCAGCAGCCGCGGUAAUAC
rnacentral:rRNA from 1 species